AAAGGAAUAGACGGGGGCCCGCACAAGCAGCGGAGCGUGUGGUUUAAUUCGACGCAACGCGCAGAACCUUACCAGGACUUGACGUCCCUGGAAUCCAUCUGAAAGGAUGGAGUGCUCUUCGGAGAGCCAGGAGACAGGUGUUGCAUGGCUGUCGUCAGCUCGUGUCGUGAGAUGUUGGGUUAAGUCCCGCAACGAGCGCAACCCUUGUGACUAGUUACGUGGAUGUCUAGUCAGACUGCCAGACUGCUGGAGGAAGGCGGGGAUGAUGUCAAGUCAGCAUGACCCUUACGUCCUGGGCUACACACACGCUACAAUGGCCGGUACAGAGGGCAGCCAAGUCGUAAGACGGAGCCAAUCCCAGAAAGCCGGUCUCAGUUCAGAUUGUGGGCUGCAACUCGCCCACAUGAAGGUGGAGUUGCUAGUAACCGCCGGUCAGCAAUACGGCGGUGAAUAUGUUCCCGGGCCUUGUACACACCGCCCGU
rnacentral:rRNA from 1 species